GACAACGCUGGCGGCGUGCCUAACACAUGCAAGUCGAACGAAGAAUGUUUUCGGAAUAUUCUUAGUGGCGACGGGUGAGUAACGCGUGAACAAUCUGCCCCGUACAAAGGGAUAGCCUCGGGAAACCGGGAUUAAAACCAUAUAACACUUAACUGCCGCAUGGUAGUGAAGUCAAAUCGAUUAAGAGGUAUGGGAUGAGUUCGCGUCUGAUUAGCUAGUUGGUGAGGUAAGGGCUCACCAAGGCGACGAUCAGUAGCCGGCCUGAGAGGGUGAACGGCCACACUGGAACUGAGACACGGUCCAGACUCCUACGGGAGGCAGCAGUGGGGAAUAUUGCACAAUGGAGGGAACUCUGAUGCAGCGACGCCGCGUGAGUGAAGAAGGUCUUCGGAUCGUAAAACUCUGUCCUUGGUGAAGAAAAGGACGGUAGCCAAGGAGGAAGCCCCGGCUAACUACGUG
rnacentral:rRNA from 1 species